GAUGAACGCUGGCGGCGUGCCUAAUACAUGCAAGUCGAGCGAACAGACGAGGAGCUUGCUCCUCUGACGUUAGCGGCGGACGGGUGAGUAACACGUGGAUAACCUACCUAUAAGACUGGGAUAACUUCGGGAAACCGGAGCUAAUACCGGAUAAUAUAUUGAACCGCAUGGUUCAAUAGUGAAAGACGGAUUUGCUGUCACUUAUAGAUGGAUCCGCGCCGCUUCAGCUAGUUGGUAAGGUAACGGCUUACCAAGGCGACACUGCGUAGCCGACUUAUGAGGGUGAUCAGUCUCACUUUAACUGAUACACGGUCCCGACUCCUACGGGAGGCGGCACUAGGGAUGUUUCUGGUACUGUGGAUAACGUUACUGAGCAACUUCUCGUGAGUGCGGAGGGUCUUGGGAUCGUAGAACUCUCUUAUUAGUUAAGAACAAUUGUGUAAGUUACUAUGCACUUCUUGACGGUACCUGAUCAGAAUGCCCCGGCUUACUAUGUG
rnacentral:rRNA from 1 species